AAGCCAGGGACCACGGAGGGUGGCGUUGGUGUGGUUGUGAGAGACUCCACGGGCAAAUUUGUGGCGGGUUGUGCAACUAAAUUGACUAAUGUUUUCUCUGCGCCACAAGUAGAGGCCUUGGCGGCAAGAACAGGUACAAUAUUGGCGAUGGAAAGGGGUUAUCAAAAUGUUGUCUUUGAAAGUGAUGCUCUCCAGAUCGUUACAGCACUUCGAAAUCACUCCAUAGAUAGGUCCGUCCUAGGACCAGUGGUGGAGGAUACCAAGAGCUUGCUAACACAUAUCACUGGGGAAGGUUUUACCCAUAUUCAUCGUACUGCUAAUGGUGUGGCUCAUCGUUUAGCUCGUUUUGCCUUGCAUAUUGGGGGUUCUUUAUACUGGUUCGAGGAACCUCCUGAUUUUAUUUCUGAUAUAUUGUACGAAGAUUGUAAUUCGUGA
rnacentral:lncRNA from 1 species